rnacentral:rRNA from 1 species
CCUACGGGAGGCAGCAGUGAGGAAUAUUGGUCAAUGGCCGUAAGGCUGAACCAGCCAAGUCGCGUGAAGGAAGAAGUAUCUAUGUUUUGUAAACUUCUUUUAUAGGGGAAUAAAUGUAGCCACGUGUGGAUAUUUUCAUGUACCCUAUGAAUAAGCCUCGGCUAACUCCGUGCCAGCAGCCGCGGUAAUACGGAGGAUGCGAGCGUUAUCCGGAUUUAUUGGGGUUAAAGGGUGCGUAGGUUGGUUUUUAAGUCAGUGGUGAAAGUUUGGGGCUCAACCAUAAAAUUGCAGUUGAAACUGGCAGACUUGAGUGUGGUUGAGGUAGGCGGAAUGCGUGGUGUAGCGGUGAAAUGCAUAGAUAUCACGAAGAACACCGAUUGCGAAGGCAGCUUACUAAGCCAUAACUGACACUGAAGCUCGAAAGCGUGGGGAUCAAACAGGAUUAGAUACCCGGGUAGUC